UACGAAGGGGGCUAGCGUUGUUCGGAUUUACUGGGCGUAAAGCGCACGUAGGCGGAUUGUUAAGUCAGGGGUGAAAUCCUGGAGCUCAACUCCAGAACUGCCUUUGAUACUGGCAACCUAGAGACUGGAAGAGGUUAGUGGAAUUCCCAGUGUAGAGGUGAAAUUCGUAGAUAUUGGGAAGAACACCAGUGGCGAAGGCGGCUAACUGGUCCAGCACUGACGCUGAGGUGCGAAAGCGUGGGGAGCAAACAGG
rnacentral:rRNA from 1 species